GAUGAACGCUGGCGGCGUGCCUAAUACAUGCAAGUCGAGCGAACAGACGAGGAGCUUGCUCCUCUGACGUUAGCGGCGGACGGGUGAGUAACACGUGGAUAACCUACCUAUAAGACUGGGAUAACUUCGGGAAACCGGAGCUGAUACCGGAUAAUAUAUUGAACCGCAUGGUUCAAUAGUGAAAGACGGUUUUGCUGUCACUUAUAGAUGGAUCCGCGCCGCAUUAGCUAGUUGGUAAGGUAACGGCUUACCAAGGCAACGAUGCGUAGCCGACCUGAGAGGGGGACAGGCCCCACGGAAAUUGAGACACGGCCCAGACCCUAAGGGGGGGCAGAAGGGGGAAUCUUCCCGAAAGGGGGAAAGGUUGGACGGACCACGCCGGCGUGGGGAAGAAGGGUUUCGGAUCGAAAACCCUUUUUUUUAGGGAAAAAAAAAAUGUGAAAGUAACUAGCCCCUUUUGACGGGAACCAAACAAAAAGCCCCGGAUAACUGACU
rnacentral:rRNA from 1 species